AUUGAACGCUGGCGGCAGGCUUAACACAUGCAAGUCGAGCGGGGUGAUGGUGCUUGCACUAUCACUUAGCGGCGGACGGGUGAGUAAUGCUUAGGAAUCUGCCUAUUAGUGGGGGACAACAUCUCGAAAGGGAUGCUAAUACCGCAUACGUCCUACGGGAGAAAGCAGGGGAUCACUUGUGACCUUGCGCUAAUAGAUGAGCCUAAGUCGGAUUAGCUAGUUGGUGGGGUAAAGGCCUACCAAGGCGACGAUCUGUAGCGGGUCUGAGAGGAUGAUCCGCCACACUGGGAGUGAGACACGGCUCAGACUCCUACGGGGGGCAGCAGUGGGGAAUAUUAGACAAUGGGGGGAACCCUGAUCCAGGCAUGCCGCGUGUGUGCAGAAGGCCUUAUGGUUGUAAAGCACUUUAAGCGAGGAGGAGGCUCUUUUGGUAAAUACCCAAGAUGAGUGGACGUUACUCGCAGAAGAAGCACCGGCUAACUCUGUGCCAGCAGCCGCCGUAA
rnacentral:rRNA from 1 species